rnacentral:rRNA from 1 species
UACGGAGGGUGCAAGCGUUAUCCGGAAUCACUGGGCGUAAAGGGCGCGUAGGCGGCCUGUUAAGUCCGAUGUUAAAGACUGGGGCUCAACCCCAGCAUUGCGUUGGAUACUGGCAGGCUUGACGGUUGGAGAGGCGAGUGGAAUUACCAGUGUAGCGGUGAAAUGCGUAGAUACUGGUAGGAACACCCAUUGCGAAGGCAGCUCGCUGGACAACACGUGACGCUGAGGCGCGAAAGUGUGGGGAGCAAACCGGAUUAGAUACCCCCGUAGU